AAUCAACGCUGGCGGCGUGCCUCAGACAUGCAAGUCGAACGAUUAAACUUUCCUUCGGGGAAGAUAUAAAGUGGCGCACGGGUGAGUAACACGUAAGUAAUCUACCUUCGAGUGGGGAAUAACGUUCGGAAACGAACGCUAAUACCGCAUAAUGCAGCGGCAUCGCAAGAUGACAGUUGUUAAAGAUUUAUCGCUUGAAGAGGAGCUUGCGGCAGAUUAGCUAGUUGGUAAGGUAACGGCUUACCAAGGCGACGAUCUGUAUCCGGUCUAAGAGGACGGUCGGACACACUGACACUGAAUAACGGGUCAGACUCCUACGGGAGGCAGCAGUCGGGAAUUUUGGGCAAUGGGCGAAACCCUGACGCAGCAACGCCGCGUGGGUGAAGAAGGCCUUCGGGUUGUAAAACCCUUUUAGCAGGGAAGAAAAAAAUGACGGUACCUGCAGAAAAAGCACCGGCUAACUACGUGCCAGCAGCCGCGGUAAUACGUAGGGUGCAAGCGUUAUUCGGAAUUACUGGGCGUAAAGCGCGUGUAGGCGGCUUAUUAAGUCCGAUGUGAAAUCCCUGGACUCAAUUCAGGAAGUGCAUCGGAUACUGGUAGGCUGGAGUACAGGAGAGGAGAGCGGAAUUCCAGGUGUAGAGGUGAAAUUCGUAGAUAUCUGGAGGAACAACAGAGGCGAAGGCGGCUCUCUGGACUGUAACUGACGCUGAGACGCGAAAGCGUGGGGAGCAAACAGGAUUAGAUACCCUGGUAGUCCACGCCGUAAACGAUGAACACUAGAUGUCGGGAGUUCUUACCCUCUCGGUGUCGCAGCUAACGCGGUAAGUGUUCCGCCUGGGGAUUACGGUCGCAAGAUUAAAACUCAAAGAAAUUGACGGGGGCCCGCACAAGCGGUGGAGUAUGUGGUUUAAUUCGAUGCAACGCGAAAAACCUUACCUGGGCUUGACAUCCCACGCUAUCCGGUGAAAGUCGGAGUUCCCUUCGGGGACGUGGUGACAGGUGCUGCAUGGCUGUCGUCAGCUCGUGUCGUGAGAUGUUGGGUUAAGUCCCGCAACGAGCGCAACCCUUGCUAUUAGUUGCCAGCAUUAAGUUGGGCACUCUAAUAGGACCGCUUGCCGAUAAGGCAGAGGAAGGUGGGGAUGACGUCAAGUCCGCAUGGCCCUUACGUCCAGGGCUACACACGUACUACAAUGGCCAAUACAAAGCGUCGCAAGGCCGCAAGGUCAAGCUAAUCGCAAAAAGUUGGUCUCAGUUCGGAUUGGACUCUGCAACUCGAGUCCAUGAAGCUGGAAUCGCUAGUAAUCGCGGAUCAGCAUGCCGCGGUGAAUACGUUCCCGGGCCUUGUACACACCGCCCGUCACGCCAUGGGAGUUGGUGUUGCUUGAAGAGGCAGAGCUAACCUUCGGGGGGCAUGUCUUAAUGGCAGUACUGAUGACUGGGGU
rnacentral:rRNA from 1 species